UUAAGUGACUAAGCGUACACGGUGGAUGCCUAGGCAGUCAGAGGCGAUGAAGGGCGUGCUAAUCUGCGAAAAGCGUCGGUAAGGUGAUAUGAACCGUUACAACCGGCGAUACCCGAAUGGGGAAACCCAGUGUGUUUCGACACACUAUCAUGUCAUGAAUACAUAGUGGCAUGAGGCGAACCGGGGGAACUGAAACAUCUAAGUACCCCGAGGAAAAGAAAUCAACCGAGAUUCCCCCAGUAGCGGCGAGCGAACGGGGAGGAGCCCAGAACCUGAAUCGGCUUGUGUGUUAGUGGAAGCGUCUGGAAAGUCGCGCAGCAAAGGGUGAUAGCCCCGUACACUAAAAUGCACAGGUCGUGAGUUCGAUGAGUAGGGCGGGACACGUGACAUCCUGUCUGAAUAUGGGGGGACCAUCCUCCAAGGCUAAAUACUCCUGACUGACCGAUAGUGAACCAGUACCGUGAGGGAAAGGCGAAAAGAACCCCGGCGAGGGGAGUGAAAUAGAACCUGAAACCGUGUACGUACAAGCAGUGGGAGCACCUUCGUGGUGUGACUGCGUACCUUUUGUAUAAUGGGUCAGCGACUUAUAUUUUGUAGCAAGGUUAACCGUAUAGGGGAGCCGUAGGGAAACCGAGUCUUAACUGGGCGAAUAGUUGCAAGGUAUAGACCCGAAACCCGGUGAUCUAGCCAUGGGCAGGUUGAAGGUUGGGUAACACUAACUGGAGGACCGAACCGACUAAUGUUGAAAAAUUAGCGGAUGACUUGUGGCUGGGGGUGAAAGGCCAAUCAAACCGGGAGAUAGCUGGUUCUCCCCGAAAGCUAUUUAGGUAGCGCCUCGUGAACUCAUCUUCGGGGGUAGAGCACUGUUUCGGCUAGGGGGCCAUCCCGGCUUACCAAACCGAUGCAAACUCCGAAUACCGAAGAAUGUUAUCACGGGAGACACACGGCGGGUGCUAACGUCCGUCGUGAAGAGGGAAACAACCCAGACCGCCAGCUAAGGUCCCAAAGUCAUGGUUAAGUGGGAAACGAUGUGGGAAGGCAUAGACAGCCAGGAUGUUGGCUUAGAAGCAGCCAUCAUUUAAAGAAAGCGUAAUAGCUCACUGGUCGAGUCGGCCUGCGCGGAAGAUGUAACGGGGCUAAACCAUGCACCGAAGCUGCGGCAGCGACGCUUAGGCGUUGUUGGGUAGGGGAGCGUUCUGUAAGCCGUUGAAGGUGGCCUGUGAGGGUUGCUGGAGGUAUCAGAAGUGCGAAUGCUGACAUAAGUAACGAUAAAGCGGGUGAAAAGCCCGCUCGCCGGAAGACCAAGGGUUCCUGUCCAACGUUAAUCGGGGCAGGGUGAGUCGACCCCUAAGGCGAGGCUGAAAAGCGUAGUCGAUGGGAAACAGGUUAAUAUUCCUGUACUUGGUGUUACUGCGAAGGGGGGACGGAGAAGGCUAGGCUAGCCGGGCGACGGUUGUCCCGGUUUAAGCGUGUAGGGGGUGUGACCUGGUAAAUCCGGUUACAUACUAACCCUGAGGCGUGAUGACGAUGCACUACGGUGCAGAAGUAGUUGAUGCCCUGCUUCCAGGAAAAGCCUCUAAGCUCUAGGUAACAUUAAAUCGUACCCCAAACCGACACAGGUGGUCAGGUAGAGAAUACCAAGGCGCUUGAGAGAACUCGGGUGAAGGAACUAGGCAAAAUGGUGCCGUAACUUCGGGAGAAGGCACGCUGGCAUGUAGGUGAAGUCCCUUGCGGAUGGAGCUGAAGCCAGUCGAAGAUACCAGCUGGCUGCAACUGUUUAAUAAAAACACAGCACUGUGCAAACACGAAAGUGGACGUAUACGGUGUGACGCCUGCCCGGUGCUGGAAGGUUAAUUGAUGGGGUCAGCCGCAAGGCGAAGCUCUUGAUCGAAGCCCCAGUAAACGGCGGCCGUAACUAUAACGGUCCUAAGGUAGCGAAAUUCCUUGUCGGGUAAGUUCCGACCUGCACGAAUGGCGUAAUGAUGGCCAGGCUGUCUCCACCCGAGACUCAGUGAAAUUGAACUCGCUGUGAAGAUGCAGUGUACCCGCGGCAAGACGGAAAGACCCCGUGAACCUUUACUAUAGCUUGACACUGAACAUUGAGCCUUGAUGUGUAGGAUAGGUGGGAGGCUUUGAAGCGUGGACGCCAGUCUGCGUGGAGCCAUCCUUGAAAUACCACCCUUUAAUGUUUGAUGUUCUAACUCGGCCCCGUGAUCCGGGGUGAGGACAGUGUCUGGUGGGUAGUUUGACUGGGGCGGUCUCCUCCCAAAGAGUAACGGAGGAGCACGAAGGUUAGCUAAUCACGGUCGGACAUCGUGAGGUUAGUGCAAAGGCAUAAGCUAGCUUGACUGCGAGAGUGACGGCUCGAGCAGGUACGAAAGUAGGUCUUAGUGAUCCGGUGGUUCUGAAUGGAAGGGCCAUCGCUCAACGGAUAAAAGGUACUCCGGGGAUAACAGGCUGAUACCGCCCAAGAGUUCAUAUCGACGGCGGUGUUUGGCACCUCGAUGUCGGCUCAUCACAUCCUGGGGCUGAAGUAGGUCCCAAGGGUAUGGCUGUUCGCCAUUUAAAGUGGUACGCGAGCUGGGUUUAGAACGUCGUGAGACAGUUCGGUCCCUAUCUGCCGUGGGCGUUGGAAGAUUGAGAGGGGUUGCUCCUAGUACGAGAGGACCGGAGUGAACGCACCACUGGUGUUCGGGUUGUCAUGCCAAUGGCAUUGCCCGGUAGCUAAGUGCGGAAAAGAUAAGCGCUGAAAGCAUCUAAGCGCGAAACUUGCCUCAAGAUGAGUCUUCCCUGGGCCUUUAAGGCCCCUGAAGGAACGUUUAAGACUAAGACGUUGAUAGGCUGGGUGUGUAAGUGCAGCGAUGCAUUGAGCUAACCAGUACUAAUGAUCCGUGAGGCUUAACCUU
rnacentral:rRNA from 1 species